GACGAACGCUGGCGGCGUGCUUAACACAUGCAAGUCGAACGGAAAGGCCCCUUUGGGGGUCCUCGAGUGGCGAACGGGUGAGUAACACGUGAGUAACCUUCCCUUGCCUUCGGGAUAACUUCAGGAAACUGGGGCUAAUACCGGAUAGGAAUCCUUGCUGCAUGGUGGGGGUUGGAAAGCUUCGGCGGUUUUGGAUGGACUCGCGGCUUAUCAGCUUGUUGGUGGGGUAGUGGCUUACCAAGGCGUUGACGGGUAGCCGGCCUGAGAGGGCGACCGGCCACAUUGGGACUGAGAUACGGCCCAGACUCCUACGGGAGGCAGCAGUGGGGAAUAUUGCACAAUGGGCGGAAGCCUGAUGCAGCAACGCCGCGUGCGGGAUGACGGCCUUCGGGUUGUAAACCGCUUUCAGCAGGGGCGAAGCUUGUGGUGACGGUACCUGCAGAAGAAGCACCGGCUAACUACGUG
rnacentral:rRNA from 1 species